GGAUCUGGAACAAAGACCCUAGAUUUUGCAGUGCACAAAGAAUCUGAUGCAAUAUCGAAGGACUAUUUACAAUAAAAUCCGAUCCAUCUAGGCGCCUCCCACUCUUCAUACCUGUAAUCACGCUCGGAACGCAUGCUGGAAAACGCCAACCACCUUUGUGCUGUCACACAGCCGAUGAUACAAAAAAAACACAACUAAACAAUCCCGACCCAUCUUUAUUACCUCAAAAACAAUGCAAGCAUGAACGCUUUUGUCACCACAAAUUCGAACUUUAAUUACCUGAUGUUUCACGGACAAAAUCACUGGCCAUACAAAGGAGAGCAACUUUCUGAUGCAACGAGCCGCCGAACGGAAUAAUAAACCAGUGUUGCACCGGCCGUUUCCUUGUUUACCAAUCAGAAUCGACGCCAGCACCUCCCAACAUUCAAAUUUCCACGCUUACACGUGCUUGUGUCUGGAUAUCAUGACAGAGAGGUGAGAGAGGACUUUGAUCUCGAUAUAAUUAUAAAAAUGUCAAUGAGCGAGGGUUUGGGUUAAGGGAUUGGAUAUAAAUAGAGAAAUCAACCGAGGGACAGACAUCAGUUAUCCAACAUAACCGAACAGACUACAACAAUCAUCAUGAAAUCCAUGGUUUGCCUUUUCGUCUUCGCCCUCGUGGCUGCCACCCAGGCCUACCCAGGAGGUCUCACUGGAAUCCCAUUGGGAGGAGUUCCCAUCACUACUGGCAUUGGCUUGGGAGGUCUUGGCGGUGGUAUUGCCUUGGCACCCCACGUUCAGCCUAUUUCCCCCAUCGUUGCUCGUCCCGCUCAGCCCAUUCAGACUGUUCUCAGCCCUGUGAAAACUCUUGUUUCGGCCCCAGUGGUUCUCGGAGGAAAAUUGGGAGGAUUAUGGUGAUCAGUUACGUGAAAUUCCCUGACGCUUCGGACUUUUCAAUGCAAAUGCCCUCAUAAUUGCUGGAUUUCGAAAUUUUUUACACUGAUGCUUUAUUAAAAGUUGUUGAAAUCAUCGUUGAAAAUAAAUAUGAUAAAAAUAA